GUCAAAUAUUAUUUUAGAUGUUGCUGUGAAUGUAUCUGAAAAGAUAUGAUUAACAUUUAAGUCAGUGGACUUUGAGUAAAGCAGAUGACCCUCCCUAAUAUGGGUGGGCCUCAUCCAAUCAGUUGAAGGCCUUAAGAGAACAAGGAUUGACCUCCCCCAAGCAAGAAGAAAUUCUGUCAGCAGACUGCCUUUGGACUCAAACUGCAACUCUUCCUUGGGUCUCUAGACUGCUAUCCUACGCUGAAGAUUUCGGAUCUGAGCCUCCACAACCAUUUACGUCUGAUUCAGCACCUUUUAUGGAUUGUCACCAGAUGAAGGUCAUGGAGGUUUGCCCAUACCAGUGGGAAAUGUGGAGCUGGGACCCAAGGACAUCUUCUCAGCCAGCCACCGUGCAUGUGACUUCCCUGGUUGAUCCAGCCAACUGCAGGACCAAGAUAUUUCUAGUGCAAGAUAGGAGAGAUGAGUAAUAGAGACCACAGCCCUUGGAAACCUUGAUCAAGUAGAAUAAGAACACCUUCCUCAGCUCUCUUUGCAAGUGGCCAAAGCUUAGUGGCUCUGGGAGAAAAAUUCAACAGGAAAACCUACAGAAGUGCCUUGAGAAAGGACCACAGUAGCCUCUUCUAAGCCAAAUUGAGUAAAUAAAAAUGAGUGCUAUUAAAAUAUCCAAUUAAUCUAAACACAAAUAUUGUUGGUGUCCAGCCUCUCUCAGUCUAAUCCAGCAACUCUCACCGAAGAGGCCUUCAUUUAGCCUGAUGUAGUUGGAAGUUUUGUUUUUACGUGUGUAUCUGUAAAGGAAAUCUUGAAGAAUUCCUCACUGCAGACCAUUAUCUUGCUCGAGAUGUCUGGAGCCCUGCUGGAUGAGCUCAUGUUUUAAACCUUAGCCUUCUCAUGCAAGUUGCUGACCAUGUUGCCUCCCUACCUAAAACCCUUCUAUGGUGCCUGUCAUUAAUGGGAUGAAAUAGCAACUCCUUAACCUGGAAGUGCUGGGUAGUCUCCAUCUCUCUUUCCAGAUCCACUUGCCACCUUUCUCCGCCCUUCUCUGACCUAGAAUACUGACCUC
rnacentral:lncRNA from 1 species